CCCGAAAUAAAAUAAUAUUGCAUGAGUUGGAAGGUGUGUGUGUGUUUAUUGCUUGUCACAUGGGCAACGACGUGGCAACGUUUGCAGUUUGCAAUUCAAGAUUCCAAAGGAACAUAACCUUACUUUAAUGGGGUCCGGUAAAAAGAAACUCAUUAUUUUUUCCUCUAAUUGGCUUUAGUAAACUGUAUUUACUUGUAUACGGCAUUGGAAGGAUAAGACUGCACAAAAAAGAGACAGUGAUUGAGCACUCACCAAAGCAUCGGUGCUGAGUCGCCAGUUUUCUGGAAACGGAUAGCUUUGGGCAAUAGCAGGGGAGUUGUGUUCCAUCAGAACAACGCCAGGGCACCGCACGUCGAAAGGGAGUCAUCAGAAGCUGCGGAAGCUUGCUCAUGAGGUCCCAAUGCAUUCACCUUAUAGACCGGACCUGGCGCCAAUUAAUUACUACCUAAUCCUGCUGGUGCGAAUGAUUUUGAGAUGUAAAAAUCGCCUCAAGAGAAGCUUAUAAAAAUCGCGUAUGCCAAAUGUUUGCUAGUAGAGGGACGAUGGUUUCUAUGAGUGGAAUUAUAAAAUUACCUUCAAAAUGGCAACAUUUUAUCGAACAAAACAGUACAUGUUUCAUCUAAAUUGUAUCAUUCCAAUUAUGCUAAAAAAAACCUUCAUUACAUGUCAAAUCUUUCACUAAGUGGUAUUUGAGUUUCGAAAGAUUCCAAGUUUCCAAUCAGUCGGUUCUUCACAAGCGGAACGUACCCGAAUUUUUAAUCUAGGCAUCAUUAUUAACUAAUAAAUAAUUGUGUAGAGUUUAAUAUCUGAG
rnacentral:lncRNA from 1 species